GACGAACGCUGGCGGCGUGCUUAACACAUGCUAGUCGAACGGAAAGGCCCUUCGGGGUACUCGAGUGGCUAACGGGUGAGUAACACGUGGGUGAUCUGCCCUGCACUUUGGGAUAAGCCUGGGAAACUGGGUCUAAUACCGAAUAGGACCAUUGCCUUCAUGGGUGGUGGUGGAAAGCUUUUGCUGUGUGGGAUGGGCCCGCGGCCUAUCAGCUUGUUGGUGGGGUAAUGGCCUACCAAGGCGACUACGGGUAGCCGGCCUGAGAGGGUGACCGGCCACACUGGGACUGAGAUACGGCCCACACUCCUACGGGAGGCAGCGGUGGGGAAUAUUGCACAAUGGGCGCAAGCCUGAUGCAGCGACGCCGCGUGGGGGAUGACGGCCUUCGGGUUGUAAACCUCUUUCAGCCAUGACGAAUCGCAAGUGACGGUGAUGGCAGAAGAAGCACCGGCCAACUACGUGCCACCAGCCGCGGUAAUACGUAGGGUGCGAGCGUUGUCCGGAAUUACUGGGCGUAAAGAGCUCGUAUGUGGAUUGUCGCGUCGUCCGUGAAAACUCACAACUUAACUGUGGGCGUGCGGGCGAUACGGGCAGACUUGAGUACUGCAGGGGAGACUGGAAUUCCUGGUGUAGCGGUCGGAAUGCGCAGAUAUCAGGAGGAACACCGGUGGCGAAAGGCGGGUCUCUCGGCAGUAAUCUGACGCUGAGGAGCGAAAGCGUGGGGAGCGAACAGGAUUAGAUACCCUGGUAGUACACGCCCGUAAACGGUGGGUACUAGGUGUGGGUUUCCUUCCUUGGGAUCCGUGCCGUAGCUAACGCAUUAAGUACCCCGCCUGGGGAGUACGGCCGCAAGGCUAAAACUCAAAGGAAUUGACGGGGGCCCGCACAAGCGGCGGAGCAUGUGGAUUAAUUCGAUGCAACGCGAAGAACCUUACCUGGGUUUGACAUGCACAGGACGCCGGCAGAGAUGUCGGUUCCCUUGUGGCCUGUGUGCAGGUGGUGCAUGGCUGUUGUCAGCUCGUGUCGUGAGAUGUUGGGUUAAGUCCCGCAACGAGCGCAACCCUUGUCUCAUGUUGCCAGCACGUUAUGGUGGGGACUCGUGAGAGACUGCCGGGGUCAACUCGGAGGAAGGUGGGGAUGACGUCAAGUCAUCAUGCCCCUUAUGUCCAGGGCUUCACACAUGCUACAAUGGCCGGUACAAAGGGCUGCGAUGCCGUGAGGCGGAGCGAAUCCUUUCAAAGCCGGUCUCAGUUCGGAUCGGGGUCUGCAACUCGACCCCGUGAAGUCGGAGUCGCUAGUAAUCGCAGAUCAGCAACGCUGCGGUGAAUACGUUCCCGGGCCUUGCACACACCGC
rnacentral:rRNA from 1 species